GGCGAACGCUGGCGGCGUGCUUAACACAUGCAAGUCGAACGGGCCUUGUCCCCUUUUUUUUUGGGGGUGGGGUUAGUGGCGAACGGGUGAGUAACACGUGAGUAACCUGCCCCUCACUUCUGGAUAACCGCUUGAAAGGGUGGCUAAUACGGGGUGUUCUGGCCUGCUCGCAUGGGUGGGUUUGGAAAGAUUCGACCGGUUUUGGUUGUUUUGGUGGGGGAUGGGCUCGCGGCCUAUCAGCUUGUUGGUGGGGUGAUGGCCUGCCAAGGCUUUGACGGGGAGCCGGCGUGAGAGGGUGUGCGGUCACACUGAGACUGAGACACGGCCCAGACUCCUACGGGAGGCAGCAGUGGGGAAUAUUGCACAAUGGGCGCAAGCCUGAUGCAGCGACGCCGCGUGAGGGAUGGAGGCCUUCGGGGUGUGAACCUCUUUCGCCAGUGAAGAAGGUCCUGCUCUUUGUGGUGGGGUUGACGGUAGCUGGGUUAAUGAAGCGCCGGCUAACUACGUG
rnacentral:rRNA from 1 species